GCCCUCGUAAGCUAAUGGAUAAACUGCCGGGUUUCUACCCCGGAUUUGGGGGUUCGAAUCCCUCCGGGGGCACCA
rnacentral:tRNA from 1 species